CCUGCCCAGUGAAUUUUAAACGGCCGCGGUACUCUGACCGUGCAAAGGUAGCAUAAUCAUUUGCCUUAUAAUUGAAGGCUGGAAUGAAUGGUUUGACAAGAAUACAUCUGUCUCUUUUUGAUUUCCUAGAAUUUUAUUUUUGGAUGAAAAAGUCCAGAUUUAAUUAAAAGACAAGAAGACCCUAUCGAGCUUUAGAAAAAUUGACGGAUUUAUUAUCCUCUAUAGUAAUAAAAGAAAAGCCGUUAAGUAUACUUUGGUUGGGGCAACCGAGGAGCAGAUAAAGCCUCCUCUAAAUUUUAAGACUUACUUGUGUUGAUCCAAAAGUUUUGAUCAAAGGAAUUAGUUACCGUAGGGAUAACAGCAUUAUCUUUUUCAAGAGCCCAUAUCGAAAAAAAGGUUUGUGACCUCGAUGUUGGACCAGAAUAUCCUAAAGAUG
rnacentral:rRNA from 1 species